AACGAACGCUGGCGGCAUGCCUAACACAUGCAAGUCGAACGAGACCUUCGGGUCUAGUGGCGCACGGGUGCGUAACACGUGGGGACCUGCACUUGGGUUCGGAGUAACUCCCCGAGGGGGGACCUAAGGCAGGUGAAUGUCUUAGGACAAAAGAUUUCUCGCUGUUGGAUGGGCCCGCGUUGGCUUGGCUGGUUGGUAGGGUACAAGCCUACCAAGGCGACGAUCCAUAGCUGGUCUGAGAGGAUGAUAAGCUAGGAUGGAACUGCGACCCGGCCCAGACGCCUACGGAAGGCAGCAGUGGGUAAUAUUGUACAAUGGGCGAAAGCCUGAUCCAGCAGUGCCGCGUGAGAGAUGAAGGCCUUAGGGUUGUAAAGCUCUUUUACCCGGGAUGAUAAUGACAGUACCGGGAGAAUAAGCUCCGGCUAACUCCGUG
rnacentral:rRNA from 1 species